CACCACCAUCUCACCUUCCCUCCCUCCCCCCAUGCCAUCCCCUUACCCUCGUCCCCCUCCUCACCCCGACACCCCCACCCACCCCAUUCAGCUCCUGCCAGCACCUCCUUGAAUCUUUACCCCUUUAACAGCGAGAACUUGGUUUUCUCCACCCGGCGGUGGACUCAGUGAGGUAUGGUGGGGUCAAGGUCGCAUUUGAACUGGAAACUAACCAGAAUUUGUAUUAAUUAUUAUUAUUAUUAAUUUGCUAUUCUUAAUUUAUUCAUUAUUCAUUAUUAUUGUAUUUUGUAACUUUAUUUUAUAAUUAUCAUAUUUAUAUUUUUUGUCAGAAAAUGGCAACUGAAUAAUUUCCUUUUAUAGAGUUUACAGAAACUUUAUCUUCCGGUCUGUUGACGCAGCUGAGGAGCCGCAAAGUGCUCGAGUCGCAGAGGUUAUUUUUAACUUAAUUAAUGCAUAUGCUGGGGUAAUAAGUGCGCGACUCGAUUGGAGUUGCACUUUACGGACUAUGACUUGGUUGUGUGUGUGUGUAUGUGUGUGUGUGUGUGUGUGCGCGCGCAUGUGUGUGUGUAAACCGUGUUGCCCUUAGGACAAGCAGCGGCCAGCAGCCGCUUGCCGCUUCAUGGAGGCUCCAGAGUCCGUACCCGCCACAAGAUUCCAGGGUUUUUGUUUUCUUCCCCUUCUUUGCUCCAAUGUUCACAUUUCUAAUUUGCAGAAAUUAUUUCUCGGAGCAGUGUUUGUGUUAGCGGUAGCGCUGCUGCGCCGCAUGCGGUCACCUGAUCGAAGGUGGAUAGAUGACAUGCUGUCGAUUCUCGUGCAGCGGGAGGGAGCUCGUGAAGGCAGCGCCGCGAGCUGCGUCACCGGAAGAGAGGUGUGCGGCUGCCGCUGCACUGGUGUUCAAUCAUCCACACAGGAUCCCUCUCCGUUUAUUAUUCCGUCUAAUUAGACUGAAGAGCGCCUCAUUCAUUAUCUGAUGAAAUUAACAAACAAACAAACAAAAACACUGCGGCCCAGUUAAAUAAAAUGCAUACGGCAAGGCCUUUUGGUGGCCUCGUAAAUAUUCUAUUCUUUCACCCUUAUUGUUUCACCUGCAUGGAGCAGCUCAAAUGCGCCUAUAAAAUAACAUAUAGGGCGACCUCUGACUGGUAAUCUGCACACACACACACACAUAUGCGCGCGCGCGUCUGUAUAGACGGCAUUGUUUGUAUAUCAAGAUAUGGCUCCUAUAUCACAUGCAGGCCCCUAUACCGUGUGCACUGAGGCCCCUUCAUGCGCAGUUCAAUUGUUCACGACACAAUUUGCGACAUAUUGACGAGGCGGUGACGUCCUCACAUCACGGAGCUGGACUGACAGUGGACCUGCAGCCGGGCCGUUUACCAGCGGCCGUCAUGUUCGACAUUGUAUUGUUUCAGAUACAAAUAACAGAAAUAACAAACACCGUGUUCACAACCACCCGCAACCAAACGAUUCAGGCACAAAAGCGCAUGCGUAAAGUCAUUCAGAAAUAAUAAUAAUAAAAUGAUAACCAAGA